GCCAGUGGUAGUCAGCUGUCUGUGUCAGUACCAUGUCUGUGACGGUGUUACACUACUGGGAGAUGAAAGUAUUGUCCGUUUCACCUGUCUGUCACUGUCUCUGUUCUGGAGGUAUCUGACACCAGUGUGGGGCAGUACUGUGCUUCUCAUGAGAGUGUGCUGAGCAGCUAACAUCCUGCUCAGCGCUAGUCUGGAAGCAUACACC